GAUGAACGCUGGCGGCGUGCCUAAUACAUGCAAGUCGAGCGAACAGACGAGGAGCUUGCUCCUCUGACGUUAGCGGCGGACGGGUGAGUAACACGUGGAUAACCUACCUAUAAGACUGAGAUAACUUCGGGAAACCGGAGCUAAUACCGGAUAAUAUAUUGAACCGCAUGGUUCAAUAGUGAAAGACGGUUUUGCUGUCACUUAUAGAUGGAUCCGCGCCGCAUUAGCUAGUUGGUAAGGUAACGGCUUACCAAGGCAACGAUGCGUAGCCGACCUGAGAGGGUGAUCGGCCACACUGGAACUGAGACACGGUCAAGACUCCUACGGGAGGCAGCAGUAGGGAAUCUUCCGCAAUGGGCGAAAGCCUGACGGAGCAACGCCGCGUGAGUGAUGAAGGUCUUCGGAUCGUAAAACUCUGUUAUUAGGGAAGAACAAAUGUGUAAGUAACUAUGCACGUCUUGACGGUACCUAAUCAGAAAGCCACGGCUAACUACGUG
rnacentral:rRNA from 1 species